rnacentral:misc_RNA from 1 species
GAUGAAGAACGCAGCAAAAUGCGAUAAGUAAUGUGAAUUGCAGAAUUCAGUGAAUCAUCGAAUCUUUGAACGCACAUUGCGCCCGCCAGUAUUCUGGCGGGCAUGCCUGUUCGAGCGUCAUUUCAACCCUCAAGCCCUCGGGUUUGGUGUUGGGGAUCGGCGAGCCUUUCUGGCAAGCCGGCCCCGAAAUCUAGUGGCGGUCUCGCUGCAGCCUCCAUUGCGUAGUAGUAAAACCCUCGCAACUGGAACGCGGCGCGGCCAAGCCGUUAAACCCCCAACUUCUGAAUGUUGACCUCGGAUCAGGUAGGAAUACCCGCUGAACUUAAGCAUAUAAUAAGCGGAGGA